AACGUAGGAGGCGAGCGUUAUCCGGAUUUACUGGGUGUAAAGCGCGUGUAGGCGGACCAACAAGUUGGAUGUAAAAGCGCCCGGCUCAACUGGGCGAGGUCGUUCAAAACUGUUGGACUGGAGGGUGGUAGGGGAAGGUGGAAUUCCGGGUGUAGUGGUGAAAUGCGUAGAGAUCCGGAGGAACACCAGUGGCGAAGGCGGCCUUCUAGACCAUACCUGACGCUCAGACGCGAAAGCUAGGGGAGCAAACGGG
rnacentral:rRNA from 1 species